rnacentral:rRNA from 1 species
UACGAAGGGGGCUAGCGUUGCUCGGAAUCACUGGGCGUAAAGCGCACGUAGGCGGAUCUUUAAGUCAGGGGUGAAAUCCCGGAGCUCAACUCCGGAACUGCCUUUGAUACUGGCGACCUUGAGGCUGGAAGAGGUUAGUGGAAUUCCCAGUGUAGAGGUGAAAUUCGUAGAUAUUGGGAAGAACACCAGUGGCGAAGGCGGCUAACUGGUCCAGAUCUGACGCUGAGGUGCGAAAGCGUGGGGAGCAAACAGG